rnacentral:lncRNA from 1 species
UGACAUUUUAAUUUUCCCAGCAUUUAUUCUGGGCAGGUGUGAGCAGAUAUGUGUCCUCAGGGGUGUGCAAGGAUGAGGGUGUGCGUAUUUGCCAUGGUUAGGGUUCAUAAUUGGGGGGCUGGUACUGCCCCCAGAUAAGGCCCUUGGAAUCCAGGUCUGGGACACUCAGUACACGGAGAAGCCUGUGUCUCCGAGCAUCCAUGCCAGGUAGAGCAUCAUCACCGGGUCACAGAGGUGGAGGCGAUGGUACUCUUGAGCCUCUUCAAUGCGUGCAUGUGAUGCUGAGGUUCAGGCAGAGGAUCAUACAGAGCGGCUGAGGCAGAGCUUGGUUCGGAUCCAGGUGCGCUGCCCCCUGAGGGCUGUUCCACAGCGGCUUGCUGAACCAGGGUCAAUUAGGAGGCGUUGGGGGAAACACGAGGAGAUGAUGCAUUACCAGCAAAUCUGCUGCCAAGGAACAAAGAACAGAGAAAUGAGAGCAUCCUCGAGCUCAGCCAUUGGAGACAGAAUGAAAGGCAGAUUUACCUGCAAGAGCAGCUGAUAUUUUUACUGCAAACCUCCUCCAAGCAGGCUGUGAGGUUUGGAAUGCGCGUGCCCUGCAAGCUGCACACAGCAAUCCUCCAGGCGGCCACGGCUGGGUCCUCGCAGCCUCCACGCACGCAGAAUACUAAACACACCCCGGGAGUUCCCGAUGCGGCCACCUGGUUACGGCCCUGCCCACGCUUGUCUGCAGCAAUUGCUCUCUGGGAGAGGCUUCACGCAUAUCUGUUCCCGAGCAUCUGUAGACAGUGUUCGCAAAGCACAGCUCCGUAUGGGAAAAUAUGAGCCGCCAGCAAAUCAUCUUCAUGGGGGCAGGAACAUCGCCAGGUGGAAAAUAUUGCUCCGAUGACUUCCGCGUAAGGAAAGAACCAGCUGAGAUAGCUAUAGUGCUAUGGCUUCCAUUUCCAAUAAAGCAAAAGCCUUUCAAGAAGCCCUUCCA